rnacentral:misc_RNA from 1 species
CCGAGUUUCCGAACUCCCAAACCCCUGUGAACGCACCUAUCGUUGCUUCGGCGGGACCGCCCCGGCGCCCUCGUGGCCCGGACCCAGGCGCCCGCCGGAGGACCCAAACUCUUGUUUUAACAUCAUUGUAUCUUCUGAGUGGCACAAGCAAAUAAAUCA